rnacentral:lncRNA from 1 species
CAUUUGACCCUGCUUUUACAUAUAUGUUGACUUGACUAGUCUCUUUAGACUUAUUUUAGUCAACCACGUAUACUCCUGUAGUGUAAAGACCGAGUAAAAACUAUAGGUUAUGAUAAUGUGGGACAAUUAUAUUAUCCAUUUACAUUAUUGUAUAGGUUCGAUGGAGGGUAUUGGGGGUCCCAAUAAACAUGAUUUUCAAAUCAUGUAUCAUGUAUGAAUUGAAUUUUUCCACUUAAUUGAUAAACUUGUAAAAAAAUGAAAUAAAUUUAACUUGCUAUAUAUAAAUUACUUAUUAAAUAACGACUCUAAAAAGCAAAUAUUUCAAUUUUCAGCAUCUUGCUCCUUAGUGGCUGCAAUUUAGGCCCAAGAUCCUUAUUUUGAUCUGCAGCCCAUUUACUUCUCAAUCUAGUUAUGGGCCCAAUGGUUAGGCUCAACAUUUCUAUUUGAUCCAACAUGUAUAUGGAGAUUAUACCAUAAUAAAACAUUUAAAAGAUUAAAAUAACCUAGUUUUUAGAUUUUUUUACUUAUUUUAAAGAUAUGGUAAGAUUAUAAACUUUUAUAAGUACAUAGUGUAUCUUACUUUUACAUUUUUGUUUGAAAAUAAAAAAAAUCAUAAAAUCAAUUGUAUUUAGUGCAAAACUACCAUCCAUCCAUUUUUGAGCCAAAAAGGUUGACGCGAACUUUGUACUGUGCACAUUACUUAGACGGGUUCUAGAAAGGCAUAUAGAAAGGAAUGGAGAAAUCGAGAAUAAAGAAAUUUAAUAAGAAAGAAAAGCCAAAGAAAUGAGAUAAUAUCGAAUUAUAUUUCUUUGGAUCUGAGUUGAAUCUUGUCUAUUUCAACACCCCUAGAUUCGGAUUCUACUUUUAAGUCUUUCCACAAUUAACUAAUUUUACCUUUCUAAUAUGUAUUACGUCUUUCUAAUAUGUAUUACGUAUUCAAAUUCGUUUGAACAAGAGGAGAAAAAAAGAGGAGAUAGAAUCCAAUUCUUUUAGAUACUUUAUCUAAGAAACUCUACCCAUCUAUGUUCUAGAUGGGGUAUAUCUCGCUAAACUGGAUAAAGCUAUUAUUCUAAUCUAGACUAUAAAAAAAUAUGUAUGUGGAUUCAUAUCAAUUAAUUAGAAAUUCAUUCUAGGGAAGAGAGACCCAUAAAAAUUAAUCA